GCCGCCCUGGGGAAAUUG
rnacentral:tRNA from 1 species